UGGGGGAUAUUGCACAAUGGGGGGAAACCCUGAUGCAGCGACGCCGCGUGAGUGAAGAAGUAUUUCGGUAUGUAAAGCUCUAUCAGCAGGAAAGAUAAUGACGGUACCUGACUAAGAAGCCCCGGCUAACUACGUGCCAGCAGCCGCGGUAAUACGUAGGGGGCAAGCGUUAUCCGGAUUUACUGGGUGUAAAGGGAGCGUAGACGGUAUUGCAAGUCUGAAGUGAAAGCCCGCAGCUCAACUGCGGGACUGCUUUGGAAACUGUGAGACUAGAGUGCAGGAGAGGUAAGUGGAAUUCCUAGUGUAGCGGUGAAAUGCGUAGAUAUUAGGAGGAACACCAGUGGCGAAGGCGGCUUACUGGACUGUAACUGACGUUGAGGCUCGAAAGCGUGGGGAGCAAGACGAGUAUAG
rnacentral:rRNA from 1 species